rnacentral:rRNA from 2 species
GCAGGCGGUCUGUCAAGUCGGAUGUGAAAUCCCCGGGCUCAACCUGGGAACUGCAUUCGAAACUGGCAGGCUAGAGUCUUGUAGAGGGGGGUAGAAUUCCAGGUGUAGCGGUGAAAUGCGUAGAGAUCUGGAGGAAUACCGGUGGCGAAGGCGGCCCCCUGGACAAAGACUGACGCUCAGGUGCGAAAGCGUGGGGAGCAAACAGGAUUAGAUACCCUGGUAGUCCACGCCGUAAACGAUGUCGAUUUGGAGGUUGUGCCCUUGAGGCGUGGCUUCCGGAGCUAACGCGUUAAAUCGACCGCCUGGGGAGUACGGCCGCAAGGUUAAAACUCAAAUGAAUUGACGGGGGCCCGCACAAGCGGUGGAGCAUGUGGUUUAAUUCGAUGCAACGCGAAGAACCUUACCUG